rnacentral:lncRNA from 1 species
GAAAAAAUAGCUUAUUUCCAAGAAAGAUCCGGAAUCAAGCAAAAAUAAGUUUUUAUGAUUCCUGUUGUGAUCAAGUUACUGGAAUUGGAACCUUGCAAAAAAAUAAAAAAAAUUAGUUCCACAACGUGGACGUUCAAGAUAAUUAAAUCGCUGGACGUUACCUCCUUAAAGAUAAUUUACAAGACAUGACUCUGGAUUCCUCCAAGGCAAUAGAUAUCGCAUAACAGAGAUUGUUAAAUUUGACAGGAUCAUCAAGCUUAACCGUGAAGCACACAAGGCUGCACUUAGUAGCGAGCAAUGUUCAGCCCCAUCACCACCACACGAUCAUACAUCAGGAAUAAUCCAAAGCUACAAGGCAAUGCAAAAUCACAAAAUCCAUGGGGCAUUAUCCAGCCGCAGCACCGCAACACGAUCAAGCUGGAACAAAAUUGCAAAAUCGCGAAUCAAUCAGCCAGCAGAGAGUUGAGGAGGACAAAUUUAGCAUCAGGCGACAACAGAACCUUGCUGACUCCGCGAAGGGGGAACCCUAGGGGGGCGGGGGGGGGGGUGGAGGAUGGGAGCGAGGUUCGGUGAUGUGGCCAUGUGGGCGACGACCGCUGGCUCCACUUCGUCCAAGGGCGAGCACGGGGUAGGCAGUGUACCGUGUGAGGCGGCGCGGCGGCGCAGACCGUUGAAGUGGCGUUGGAUGAAGAGGGGAACAUCGACGAGAUGGAUG